CACGUAGGUGGGUCGUUAAGUCGGGGGUGAAAUCCCAGGGCUCAACCCUAGAACUGCCUUCGAUACUGGCGACCUUCGAGUCCGGGAGAGGUGAGUGGAACUGCGAGUGUAGAGGUGAAAUUCGUAGAUAUUCGCAAGAACACCAGUGGCGAAGGCGGCUCACUGGCCCGGUACUGACACUGAGGUGCGAAAGCGUGGGGAGCAAACA
rnacentral:rRNA from 1 species